CGUUUUGGCCGCCUUCCCGAGCCCGGAUGCUCGGCCCGCUUUGAGGAAAGUCGAUCCUCGCGUCACCCUUGUCGUUUUGGUCCGCUCGGCUCGCUAAUCCGGUGAAUUUAGCUCACUAAACCUUGAUUAGACGGUUAAUGAUGCUUUAUGGGUGCUUAGUUUAUGUUAAGUGUUAUUAGGUAGUUAGUUUAAUUUAUUUAAGUGUAGAUUAUAUUAAGGUGUUUGAUUAACUUAAAUUGUGUUUAAUUUAAGGUUAAGUGAGUGUUUAUAUUAGUAUAAACCUUGAUGUGACAAAAAGGAAUUUACUUUUGAUUUAUUUAAAUAUCUCGAAAUUAUCGAAUAAUUAAAUAAUAUUUUAAUAUUUGAAACUAUUAAAAUAUUAUUAUUUAAUUAUUUUCGGAAUAAAUUAAAUUAUUUAUUAAACUCCAAAAAUUUUGUCGAGACCCUUAAAUUCUCAGAAUUUCGUGCCGGUCGUUGCUGUGUAGUCGGAUUUUGAAAUUGAUGAUUUGAUGUUAUAAAUUGAGCGUGGACCAUGAAAUAUAUGGAUAUUAUUAUUUAAUUAAUUUUCGGAAUAAACUUAAUUAUUUAAUAAAUUCUGAAAAUUAUUUGGGAACCUUAUUCUCUCAGAAUUUCGUGCUGAUCGCUGUUGUGUAUUUAGAAUUUGAAUUUGAUAAUUGAUUGUGGCAAAUGGAGUGUGAUUGUGAUAAAUAGGGAUUCUUUAUAAAAUUCUAAGUGUGGAAAUUGAUGGGAGAUUGGCUGUGAUUGACCACCUAUUAGAGGUCGUGCCCAGUGAGGCCGUGAUUGACCACCUAUUAGAAGUCGUGCCCAGUGAGGCCGUGAUGAACCACCUAUGAGAGGUCAUGCCCAGUGAGGCCGUGAUUAACCACCUAUUGGAGGUCGUGCCCAGCGAGGCCGUGAUGAACCACCUAUGAGAGGUCGUGCCCAGUGAGGCCGUGAUUGACCACCUAAUAGAGGUCGUGCCCAGUGAGGCCGUGAUUGACCACCUAAUAGAGGUCGUGCCCGAUGAGGCCGUGAAAUACCACCUAUUAGAGGUCGUGCCCAGUGGGGCCGUGAAUUGCCACAUGAUAAAGGUCGCGCCGAGCGGGGCCGUGAUGCCACUGAUUCUAAUUUUGCCGAGUAGGGCCGUGAUUGAGAGCAAUGAUUGAUUUGCUAGAAUGACAUGUAAUCGGCCGAGUCGAUUGAUCGCUGAGACGAUCCAAGUGGUUGAAUUGUUUGAUAAUGUGAUUGUGCCAUGGUUGUUUGGUUAUCAUAAUUGCACGUGGUUGGUUUAUAUAAAUUGUGCUAACCUGCAGAUAAAGGCUGAGGCGAGGUAAGUCUUCUGUGUGAUGUGGCUAGGCCACCCGGGGCGUAUUUUCUUUCUAAUAGGGGUUUAGGGGGUUGAACUUGCUGAGACAUCGUCUCAUCCCGGUUGUGGGAUUAAAAUUUCAGGUCCCUGGUGGACGGAGCAACCAGAUAGCUUUGGUUGGCUUUGAGGAGUUGCAGACGUGAAGUAAUAAGACUGGAGAACGUGUCCGACUUGUAGGUCGUAGGACAAUUCCUUUUUAAGAGCCGGUCUUGUGUAGACUGUUGGCCGUAGACUUCUGUUUGUAAUUCUUUUGAAUUAUGAAAGUGUUAUGUUGUGGUUUGUUUCCUGCUUUUCUAUCCCGUAUUUUAUUGUCAGGGGUUUUAUAAUACGUUCCGCUUGCGCAUUAAUAAAAUGAAUGGGGUCGGCGACACUACCUGGGAAUGUCGCAUUUUUGAUCGACCGUAGUGGGAUGUGCGCGCGCUCGGGGU
rnacentral:lncRNA from 1 species